CGACCGUGAAACAACACUCGUGAUCGUAGAUGACGUGAAUGACUUGCAUUUAUUUCGCUUUGAUGAUCAAGCACGUUAGCAGCUACUCACCGAGGUUUUUACCUUUGAGACCGUUCGCGCACCUUUGAACCAAUACGUCCGUAAAUUGAUGGUAAACUGAAAAUGUUGGAGGGAUUCACGUAUAAAAAAUGACAAUCAUUAGGUUUACAUUACAUAUUUAUGAGUUAAUUAUGUAAGGAUUGAGAAAUGAAGAGGUUAUAGGUUGAAGCUCGUAGGAGUUUGAAAUUGGGAAAAUGAGAGACCACGUUUAUUUUGAGACAAUAUAUUUAUUUCUUAUUAAUAUGGAGUUUUCAACAAUAACAGUAUAAUAGUAGGCGUAACAAGAGAGACGAGGGAUGAUAACUAACAUGCAUUUGUGAGAGUCUCUAUCUCGUUAGACUUUCAAGAAUUUCAGUUACGAGUGUCGGAUACAGUGCCUAACGAGAAAACUAUGAAACUAAAUCGCUAUCCUCUAUGUAUAAUUUAUAAUUAUAUAGCGAAUUGCUCGAUAAUACGAUUAAACGCUAUAUCCGUAAGUAAAGAAUUGGGCGGAUCGACUACUCCUAAGGCCUCGCUCAUCAAUUAUUUUCAAUUAAUUUAGUCCCACACAUUCAUUCUAACAGUCUAAGUUUGGGUAGUUGGGAUCAAGUUGGAACGAUGAUAGUUCAUUUUCAGUUUGACGAAAAAAA